rnacentral:rRNA from 1 species
AGCGAACGUUUGCGGCGGGCUUAACACAUGCAAGUCGAACGAGAAUCCCUUCGGGGAGGAAAGUGGCGCACGGGUGCGUAACACGUGGAUAACCAACCCAUUGGUUUGGGACAACACCGGGAAACUGGUGCUAAUACCAGAUGUGUCGCAGCUGUCUUCAGGCGGUUGCGAGAAAGGCCCGCAAGGGUCGCCAACGGACGGGUCCGCGUCCCAUCAGCUAGUUGGUGAGGUAAUGGCUCACCAAGGCAAAGACGGGUAGCUGGUCUGAGAGGAUGAUCAGCCACACUGGAACUGAGACACGGUCCAGACCCCUACGGGAGGCAGCAGUGGGGAAGUAUUGCGCAAUGGGCGAAAGCCUGACGCAGCCACGCGCGUGAGCGAUGAAGGUCUUCGGAUCGUAAAGCUCUGUGGGGGGAGGAAGAAGAAAGACCGGUGAAGAGCCGGCCCGUGACGGUA